AAAAAAGCAGGGCCUUGCUGCCUUUUGUGAACUAGGUUCUUGUAAACUUCAGGAAAAUUACUUGUGCAUUGUUCUUGGGUGAACCUUUGGAUUUAUUGGUGCCUGAAGGUUCAGUAAAUAAUGCUACUUUU